AAUGAUGCAGCUAUGUAGUCUGGACCGAGGUCGGAGGGGGAGGGUUGUCAGGAGAGGCAGUGUUACUUACUAGCUGUUAGGACUGCCCUUCCAGGAAUCCUGCAUAAAAGGACCUUGUUCUGGAUCCAGCGGACAUCACGCCGACGCCAGCAACACCCUAAAUAAGGUGAUGGCGUCACAAAAUUACCUUAUUCAGGGGCCCAGCUGCACCCAGAAAAUCUAACUACCAUCAAGUGCACCUCGAUCACCACCUGGCCAGUGUCCCCUAUAAUAGAGCGUGCCCCGAAGAAUUUGGUACUGUUCUCUCCUUCACUGCAGCUCAGCCCAGGGAGCGCCA